GACGAACGCUGGCGGCGUGCUUAACACAUGCAAGUCGAACGAAGUGGCGGACGGGUGAGUAACGCGUAAUCAACCUGCCCUUCAGAGGGGGACACAAGUUGGAAACGACUGCUAAUACCGCAUACGGAAGGAGGGGAUUGCUUCUGAUUAGCUAGUUGGAGGGGUAACGGCCCACCAAGGCGAUGAGCCGUAGCGGGUCUGAGAGGAUGAUCCGCCACACUGGGACUGAGACACGGCCCAGACUCCUACGGGAGGCAGCAGUGGGGAAUUUUGGACAAUGGGCGCAAGACUGAUCCAGCCAUGCCGCGUGUCUGAAGAAGGCCUUCGGGUUGUAAAGGACUGUUGUCAGGGAAGCGGUACCUGAAGAAUAAGCACCGGCUAACUACGUGCCAGCAGCCGCGGUAAUAC
rnacentral:rRNA from 1 species